rnacentral:rRNA from 1 species
GAUGAACGCUGGCGGCGUGCCUAAUACAUGCAAGUCGAGCGAACGGACGAGAAGCUUGCUUCUCUGAUGUUAGCGGCGGACGGGUGAGUAACACGUGGAUAACCUACCUAUAAGACUGGGAUAACUUCGGGAAACCGGAGCUAAUACCGGAUAAUAUUUUGAACCGCAUGGUUCAAAAGUGAAAGACGGUCUUGCUGUCACUUAUAGAUGGAUCCGCGCUGCAUUAGCUAGUUGGUAAGGUAACGGCUUACCAAGGCAACGAUGCAUAGCCGACCUGAGAGGGUGAUCGGCCACACUGGAACUGAGACACGGUCCAGACUCCUACGGGAGGCAGCAGUAGGGAAUCUUCCGCAAUGGGCGAAAGCCUGACGGAGCAACGCCGCGUGAGUGAUGAAGGUCUUCGGAUCGUAAAACUCUGUUAUUAGGGAAGAACAUAUGUGUAAGUAACUGUGCACAUCUUGACGGUACCUAAUCAGAAAGCCACGGCUAACUACGUGCCAGCAGCCGCGGUAAUACGUAGGUGGCAAGCGUUAUCCGGAAUUAUUGGGCGUAAAGCGCGCGUAGGCGGUUUUUUAAGUCUGAUGUGAAAGCCCAUGGCUCAACCGUGGAGGGUCAUUGGAAACUGGAAAACUUGAGUGCAGAAGAGGAAAGUGGAAUUCCAUGUGUAGCGGUGAAAUGCGCAGAGAUAUGGAGGAACACCAGUGGCGAAGGCGACUUUCUGGUCUGUAACUGACGCUGAUGUGCGAAAGCGUGGGGAUCGAACAGGAUUAGAUACCCUGGUAGUCCACGCCGUAAACGAUGAGUGCUAAGUGUUAGGGGGUUUCCGCCCCUUAGUGCUGCAGCUAACGCAUUAAGCACUCCGCCUGGGGAGUACGACCGCAAGGUUGAAACUCAAAGGAAUUGACGGGGACCCGCACAAGCGGUGGAGCAUGUGGUUUAAUUCGAAGCAACGCGAAGAACCUUACCAAAUCUUGACAUCCUUUGACAGCUCUAGAGAUAGAGCCUUCCCCUUCGGGGGACAAAGUGACAGGUGGUGCAUGGUUGUCGUCAGCUCGUGUCGUGAGAUGUUGGGUUAAGUCCCGCAACGAGCGCAACCCUUAAGCUUAGUUGCCAUCAUUAAGUUGGGCACUCUAAGUUGACUGCCGGUGACAAACCGGAGGAAGGUGGGGAUGACGUCAAAUCAUCAUGCCCCUUAUGAUUUGGGCUACACACGUGCUACAAUGGACAACACAAAGGGCAGCGAAACCGCGAGGUCAAGCAAAUCCCAUAAAGUUGUUCUCAGUUCGGAUUGUAGUCUGCAACUCGACUACAUGAAGCUGGAAUCGCUAGUAAUCGUAGAUCAGCAUGCUACGGUGAAUACGUUCCCGGGUCU